UACGUAGGGGGCAAGCGUUGUCCGGAUUUAUUGGGCGUAAAGAGCGUGUAGGCGGCCUUACAGGUCAGCUGUGAAAACUCGAGGCUCAACCUCGAGACGUCGGUUGAAACCGUAAGGCUAGAGUCCGGAAGAGGAGAGUGGAAUUCCCGGUGUAGCGGUGAAAUGCGCAGAUAUCGGGAAGAACACCCGUGGCGAAGGCGACUCUCUGGGACGGUACUGACGCUGAGACGCGAAAGCGUGGGGAGCGAACAGG
rnacentral:rRNA from 1 species